GGUUAAGCGACUAAGCGUACACGGUGGAUGCCCUGGCAGUCAGAGGCGAUGAAGGACGUGCUAAUCUGCGAUAAGCGCCGGUAAGGUGAUAUGAACCGUUAUAACCGGCGAUUUCCGAAUGGGGAAACCCAGUGUGACUCGUCACACUAUCAUUAACUGAAUCCAUAGGUUAAUGAGGCGAACCGGGGGAACUGAAACAUCUAAGUACCCCGAGGAAAAGAAAUCAACCGAGAUUCCCCCAGUAGCGGCGAGCGAACGGGGAGGAGCCCAGAGCCUGAAUCAGCAUGUGUGUUAGUGGAAGCGUCUGGAAAGGCGCGCGAUACAGGGUGACAGCCCCGUACACAAAAGCGCAUGUGCUGUGAGCUCGAUGAGUAGGGCGGGACACGUGGUAUCCUGUCUGAAUAUGGGGGGACCAUCCUCCAAGGCUAAAUACUCCUGACUGACCGAUAGUGAACCAGUACCGUGAGGGAAAGGCGAAAAGAACCCCGGCGAGGGGAGUGAAAAAGAACCUGAAACCGUGUACGUACAAGCAGUGGGAGCCCCACCACCAAAGCAUUCUCUGGUGUUGAAGGCCCUGCAAAGCAGCAUCGCGGUGGCGGAGCGUCGUUUGCGACGCCCAACACACAAAACAAGCGGUGAGUGCUUUGGGGUGGGGUGACUGCGUACCUUUUGUAUAAUGGGUCAGCGACUUAUAUUCUGUAGCAAGGUUAACCGAAUAGGGGAGCCGGAGGGAAACCGAGUCUUAAUUGGGCGUUAAGUUGCAGGGUAUAGACCCGAAACC
rnacentral:rRNA from 1 species